GUUGAACGCUGGCGGCGUGCCUAACACAUGCAAGUCGAGCGGACGAACGAGGCUUUCUCCUGUCUGCAGCUGCGGGCGGGCGAGUGAUUCCUAGGAAUCUGCCUGAUAUUUGGGGAUAACGUCAGUUAACGGGCGCGGAUACCGCAUAGGUCCUUAUGUAGAAAGGGGGGGUUCUUUGGACCUCGCGCGAUUAGAUGAGCCUAGGUCGUAUUAGCUAGUUGGUGGGGUAAAGGCUUACCAAGGCGACGAUCCGUAACUGGCCUGAGAGGAUGAUCAGUCACACUGGAACUGAGACACGGUCCAGACUCCUACGGGAGGCAGCAGUGGGGAAUCUUGGACAAUGGGCGAAAGCCUGACGCAGCAACGCCGCGUGUGUGAAGAAGGUCUUCGGAUCGUAAAGCACUUUUAGUUGGGAAGAACGGAUGUAAGAUUAUCCAUUCAUGUCUUGACGUUACCUACAGAAAAAGCCCCGGCUAACUUCGUG
rnacentral:rRNA from 1 species